GCGCUGCGUCGCCAGGGGCAGCCUGUCGGAAGACUGGGCUGUCCUGGGCGUAUAAAGAGCGGUGUACGGUUCAGGGCCGUGAGGGAGCAGACAAAAGCUGCCGCGCGGUGC
rnacentral:SRP_RNA from 1 species